rnacentral:lncRNA from 1 species
AUGCGGGUGCGGGGUUAAAAAUGUAGAAAAAACUUCAAAUAAUACCCAGCAGUUUCAUAUUUUCUUAUUUUAGUAUUAUGUAAUUUAAAAUGUAUCGCUUUUAUGUCCUAUGAUUUUAUUUUUCUCUUUUUGUAAUCUCCUCUACUAAUUUUUUUUCGUUAAAUCAGGCUGACAAACUGUACUGAUAUAAUUACUCUCAAAGAUCUCCUGAAAAGCACUAAUAUGUGAGCGCGAAUAUGUACAUGCAGAUCGACCCGCGUUGAUAAAUCACAGAUCAGCAGAUAUAUAGGAAAUAUGCAUCUGUAGUACCUAAAACUUAUUCUUUCCUUUGCUGUAGUUUAUUAACUAAAAUAUCAGUUAUUACUUCAGUACUGGCUCUCUCUAAUAACUUCAGUACUGGCUCUCUCUCUCUCUCUCUCUCUCUCUCUCAUAAUUGUAGAAAACAGGCAAGAAGAUAAUUUGAAUUAAAAAGGAAAAUCCUUUAGUUAAUUGCUCACAAACAGAACCAAUCACACAUCCCAAUCUCACCGUAAUGCAAGUAAAUCAGAUGAUUCCAAUCAACUUAAUCUAAGAUGAAUCCAUUUCUGCAGCAACUACACAACAAACCAACAAGUCUACAAACUAAAUACAUAAAUAAAGCCAUCGUUUUGAGAGCCACAAGCUAAAGACAAAGGGGGGAACUCACUAGUUCUCAAAAUACAACAAUGAGUUUGAAUCAUUUUAACUGCCUAUUGUAUGUGUCAACUGCAAUAGAAGAUAACAAAGAAAAACAAAUGAUCCACUUUCUGAGGUUGACUACAUUAUUCAUUCUUUUCCUAUGAUACAAAAAGAAUCUCCAGUAAGCUGCAGGACUCAACAGAAAAGCCAGACACCACAAUGUACACCUGAUCCAAUUCUGUCAUAUCUAGAGUUGAUAAAUCUGUCAAUUUUUCUCUUCUAUAUGGAAUUAGUGUUUCUAUGACUUCAUCUUUCCCAAGCAUUAUGUUUUGGGUGUAAUGGAAGUUCGAAAUCACAGCAACAGCAAAACCCACAUAACAAAUGCAAUAGCCAGUUUGCGUGGAUUCUUCUGAAGAGAAGGGACAAAAAAAAAAAGAUUUGACAAUAAGAGGAGGACAGAAGGGAAUGGAAUGAGUAAAAAGCCUCAUCAGAAUUUUUAUGGAUAUGAAGAGACGAGACGAUAAAAAUGGACUAAUAAAAUGCAAGUAAAAGAGGAAUGCAUUUAACAACUUAGAUUAUAAAAAUUGCAAUUUUCGUAAGUCAAUCGUUGUUUGAUAUGGUACUUCCAACAAGAAGAAAAAAAACUAUUUAUUCUCAGUCCUAGUGUAUGUUCCUUCUAGGGUCCUUGAAAGAAAAGACUGAAUCCUCCAAAAUUUUCAGAACAGCAUAGAGAGUAUAAGCAAAAAGGCACCUUACUUUUUCUCUCUUUCCUAAACACAACAAUAUUUAAAAAGUGUAGAAAAUUGGGCAUUCUUGACCAACCAAAUCAUGUUUGCAUGGGCCAGAAAUCUCUUUUUAUAAGAGACCAAGAUAUCGAUUGUUAGUGCUACCAAUUUCAGGAAUUCGCUAUAGAUUUCGAAUCAUAAGUCCCACAGCCCUACCAAACCAAAUGGAACCAAACCAAAUGGAAAUUCAGGUUGAACAACAAGGAUGAAAAUUUAAGUAAACUUAUUCCUCUUCUUUUUACUCUUUCUAGCUGCAAAUGAGCUGAUUGUCUCACUAGGAAGGCACACCUGAUCUCCUCUACUGGCUUUCAUCUCUUGGGAAAUUGAUUGCCUAUGUCCUUUGCAAGCCUUGGGAAGUUUACCAUCAUAAGCUCCACAGAUAUGAGCCUCAAAAUUCAUAUAAUCCUGCAAUUUAAAGGUACACAAUCCAUCACGUAAAUUGAAGGUAUAUACAUUUUAGAAUGAGUAAUAAAAGUAAUUAAGCUGACUAGUUGGAAUGAGAUUUCAGAUGAUAGAUUGGCCCAACAAAGUGUUUGCUUCGGUUCAGUUCUUAAUAGCUAUAUCUUAGUUAAAGCUACAUAGAUUCAGAUCCAAGGUCCAUUUUCUAGGCUUAUAAUGAAAAGAAAUAGUUAGAACAUCAUUCAUGCCAUGAAUAUAAUCGGGGGAUCAGUUAGCACUUUGUCUUGGCAAUUUAGUCCCUACAGAUAAGAUGAAAUUUGAAAGAACGAUAAGUAACAAGCCUUGUUGAAUCAAGAAGCCAUAGUUGUGAUCAUUAUGCAUUUUCCUGCAGUUUGUUGCCGUAUGAACUUUUAGGAGCAUAAUGAAAUAACGAAAAAAGAAAGAAGCAACAUAAACUAACAGAUCAAUACAACUGCGCAGAAUUGCUUCAUGCAUUCUCCAGAAAUUGUACAUUAACAAACAGAAGCAAAUUGAAGAUUGAUUAGAAAAUAACAAUCAUCUACCAUGCCUAAAAUCAUGAAAAAGUGGACAAAUAACUUUUUUGCUAAUGAAAAUUAUGGUUUUGUUGUAACUUAUAAAAGAAAAGUAAAUAACUUAGGAUUGAGUUAACUCUAGUAGUUGAGGCAUGACUAUAUCAACUGGGGAGGCAAAUUGAUAACAGUAUGUUGAUCAGCAUAGACAUACCUCAAAAGGCUUAGAAAGGAUAUGAGGAAAACAGGACACACAGGAAUGAAAUAUAAAAGAAGGUUAAGCGUAAGCUUGUAGAAUAUGAAACUAACCUCAUAGAGAGGCUUCCCAUCAACAACCACCCAAGGAACAUACUGAUGAGGGGGGCGAAGAGCAUCUGUCUCUGCUGCAUACUGUAGUUCAAGCUGCAUUUGUAUCAGAUUAAGAGAAGUUCAUAAGCACCUGUAAGUAUAAUCUCAUUGUAUUCUCUCUCGGAAAUAUAUAUACACACAUAUAUGUGUAGAUGAAAGCUUGGUCAACUAAGAUUGGAUCAACCACAAUGAUUUCUAGAAUAAAAGCAAUAACCAUUUGAAAAUUAACAAUACUUAGGAACUAACCCCUACAGAUUUCUCCAAGAAAAAAAAUAAGGGGUGAAAUACAAAUAAGUUGGUUAUGGUAAAUCUAAUACAAAUAUUAACAUGCAAAAGUUCAGAAAGAAAAAUAAGUGAGAAGAGUGAUGUAUAGACAACCAUCCUAACAUAUUUCUCUUUAAUGAAACCUUCUAGAUGAGAUUCAUUCGAAGUUAACUUCAAAAGGGAGAUUCAUUCGCAAUUUAUUGUGUUGAACAAACCUGCCACCCAUAUCCACUAUUAUAGCAAUCUACAACCGCUUCCGAACUCAGGCCAGCUACCUGGAAGCAAGAUUGCCACUCGUUUUCUUUCUGUCCCAGAAUUAAAUUUUCAACACAGUGAAUGAAGCGGAAGUGCUCUUGCUGCAUCAGAAUUCAAGAAAAUUAACAUAAAAAUAAUCUUACAAGGUAAUAUGUUUUGACGACAAUCUCUGCAUGAGUCUGAAAAUGCACAACGCGUACAUUUCCCAAGAAAAACAGUUUCUAUGUAUAAUGCAGCACAGCAUUCAAUAAAGAUAAAUGCACUGACAGCCUAAACAGACCCCCAAAACUCCUAAAUUUUGAAAUUCACCCGUUUUGUGUGACAAAAAGUUCCACACCGGAAAGGCGACCACCGACAUAUUGUUUCGUCACAACAAGACAUUGGUAUAUAACUGUAAUUCUUUGUACAUUACCACAUCAGGCCACUCUUUGAUUGCGCAUGCUUCGAUAACAUUCAGAAGGCACUCGUUCGCACCAUGCUGCAGGAUGAAACAAGAAUGGUUAAAAGAAAAUCAUUUUCUAGGCGUCUGGAUCAUAAAAAAUAAUUUAAUACAAAGGUUAUGAAAAAUCAACCUACCUCUUCAUUCAAGACACACCAAUCUCACUGCAAAAACCCCAUAAAUAUAUAAAUGCUGCUGCAGGUCGCAGGCAGUAAAUUGACAUGUGCUUGUUUCCAGUAAUUAAUGAAUUUUUUAGGGUCAAUAGCAUACGUCUCCCUGCGAAGUAUGGAAAUGACACACUUGUCCCUCAAUGUUGUUUGUCAAGAAGUAUAUCCCUCUGAAUUUCAAAAGUUUACAACUUAUUCCUACCAACUGACUACUGUUAAUUAACUGGCACUCUCUCACUGUUAGGACCUUUACGCUCUUACGAAUAUACAUUCUUUUCAGAUUUUUAAGGUUCAAAUAGAAUGAAAAGAGUGAUGGAACAAAGAAGCUAGAGAUUUUUAAAAAAAAAUGAUGGUAAAAGUAUUUUAUAAGAUCUUUUUUGGGGCCAAAAUGGUAAUUUUCAGAAAAUUCAAUUUUAGACGAUCAAUGACACACAGAAGAAUAAAUGUGCAAACUACUAAAAUUUAUGAGGGACAAAUACACAAUUUCACUACUUUGAAGAGACAAGCGUGCAUUUUUUUUCCGAUCAAUUCCACCAUCUCCUAUAUUAACAGCGAAUAUUGCAAUCGAGAAUCUUACAGAGGCAUUUCGACAAAAACAUGGUGGGAACAUUCCGAAGGGAGGAAUUGGGAGUGAGGACCUGGCAAAUGAAGGAGCCGUCGGAGGAAACCCUCGCGUUGCCGUAAGGGACGAGAUCGAGGUCGACGAUGGAGACGAGCCCGUUGCUGAAGAUGCGAGAGAGGUGGUUCACAAUGAAAUUGGAGCAGUAAGGGCACAGAGUCUCGUAGUAGAGGGACAAGGAGACCCUCUUAGUGGCCGAUGCAUGGGAGGGAGAGAGGGAGAGGAGAGAGAGGAGUGAAAUGGCGAAGAGGAGAUGAAGAGACGCCAUGGGAAGGGUAGGGAGAGAGAGAGAGAGAGAGAGAGAGAGAGAGAGAGAGAGGUUGUGUUGAGUUGAGGAGAGAUCGCUUCCUCUGUAGGUGAUUCCUCCGAGGGGGCGGGUGGGGUGCAAAAAGGAAAGGGAAAAGCGGGAGAAGAUGCUACAGGGUGGUGGUUAUGAAAAAUGAGCUAUAUUUAAAAAAAAAAAAAGGUUAAUUGCAUAUAAGUCCCUACAAACAUAGUAAAUUAUAAAUACAUUUCUACAAAGUUUAAUUUUUAUAAAUUAUUUCUGCAAAAAUCCUAAUAUUUUCAGAUAUAUCUUUGCCAUUAAAAUCUGUUAGAAAAGUUUAGUUAACCAUAGGUUACAUACUUUACUCUAGUUGACAUUUUUAUUCCUCUUAUAUUAUACUGUUAUAAUUUUUGGAGGGAUAUAUUUGUGAUGAGAAAAUUAAAAUAUAAACGGUUUUCUAAUGAUUCUCUAACGAUAACUAAUCAGAGGAAUAUAUUUAAAAAUAUUAGAACUUUCAUAUAAAUCACUUAUGAAAGUUGAACUUUACAGCAAUACAUUUGUAAUUCACUAUGUAUGUGGAAACCAAUAUGCAAUUAAUUCUAAUAAAAUGGGGGGUAAGUUGCAAAUUUGGUCCCAGAUGUUUCAAUAUUAGCAGUUUAGGCCCUUUAGAAAGAUAAAUUGCAAUUGGGUUCUUCAACCUGUGGGCAUAGUUUCAGCUGUGUGUUCUACCCCAGGGAUGUCAACGGGUCGGAAUAGAUUUUCAAAAAUAUAAAGCCGAAGCCGACUAAUAACCAAAAUUCAAAUUCGAAUUCGAAUAUGAUAGAUUUUAAAAAAUUGUAUCUAAAUCUGAAUCCGAUUAAAAAUACAAAAUUUGAACCCAAGUCCGAACCCAAAAAUCUGAACCCCAAUUAUUAUAGUUUAUCGCAAUAAAUUUUUUGUUAAUUCCUUAGUAAAAUAGCGAGAAAGAGAGCCACGAAAUCGCAACCUCUUUUAGCCAAUUAUUUAGUGCCUAUUUGGCCCCCUUAACUGCUUUAUUUUCUAAACCAACUACUAAAUUUAAAGCCCGCGUAUUUUCAAAAAAAAAAAAAAAAAUUAAACAGCAUUUUUUUUUUUAACUUUCAUACUAAACAGCUCAUCAAUUUAUUUAGGAUAAACUUCAAAUGACAUAUUUAUAUAGUUUCGUACUUUCUUAUUUUAAUACCAUGUAGUUUAAAAUAUAUCAAUUUAGUAUCCUAUGAUUUCAUUUUUUUUCUUUUUAUCAGCCCUUUUGUUAACAUUUCGUUAAAUUACAUAUAAAAAAUUUCAGAUAUCCUACCUAAAUUUAUCGAAUAUUUAUUUUAGCACCUUUUAGUUUUAACUUUGUUAUUGAUUUAACGAAAAAAAUUAUUGGAGAAGAUAAUAAAAAGAGAAAAAUAAAAUUAUCAAGUACUAAAUAGAUACACUUUAAACCACAAGAUAUUAAAAUAAAAAAAAGAGUACGAAACUACAUAAAGUUUUCCAAUUUAUGUAGAAGCCAACAUAUAAGGACUUAAAACUGCCGCAAACAAGCUUUACUUUUACCAUCCCAUCUUACUGAGACAUAUCCAUUAUAAAUUACGAAGAGAUACUCACCACGGUGAGACCUAAAAACUAGUUAAAUGUUAAGGGGCCCCUCAUUUCAUUAUUGAAGUUAAGCGAGUUCGCCAAUUAUCUGUAAAACAUACUAUUUUUCUCACAUACAUAAUUUGAACAUGUUUUACGGAGAAAUUAUUCGCAGGGUUCUUCUCAUCUUCCAUUCAUUUAAGGUAACCUUUGCUCUUCAAACUCUCCACCGUAUCCUUGAUGAGCUUUUCAAGGGGAGUGAAGUGAAGGCCCAGCUCAAUCAACUUCUUCGAGGGACUCUCGGCCCUCACCACCCAAGGUUGUUUGUCCUCUUCAACCCUAUCAAACACGAACUAACACAAAUCAGAUAAAUUAAGCAAAGAAUUAUACGUAUUUGCGCAUAUAUAUGCCAACUAUGAAGAUAAAAAUUGGUGCCUAUUUCUAAGUCACAGCUUAAUCAGAGGCGUUUAACUAAAUUAAAAUGUAAGCGUUACCAACUGCACUGAGGACGCAACAGCAAAUACACACUAAUCUCGAGGAUAUAACUUGUAAUAGAGAGAGGUGCAUAUUUGCAAAUAUGUGUCUUAUAAGGGUAUAGGAGUAAGAACCUUUUAUGCAAGAGCAAAUAAUUUGAGUUAAACAUAGUCAGUCUCUUAUACCUUUUAACCGGAAAUUCGGGGUAGAGUUCUGCAAGCUUGGCCACAAAAUCAAUCCACCGUUCAAUGCGUUCUAAACACAGAUGCCGUCCCUGAGCUAAUCGGUUCUCGUAUAACAGUAUCAGCGCUUGCGCCACAUCCCUCACGUCGACGGACCCAAUGUAAAGAUUGUCCAUGUCAAAUUGGGCUCCUGAGUCAUGACGCGGUGCGAAUUUAAUAGUUACCGUGCUGCAGCAAUUUAUGGAGGUAUAAAACGAAGUAGUGCAAAGAAAGUGAAAGCUUUUGGGGAUGACUGUACUCAAACAGCACUUAGCUCCCGCAGUCAUUAAUUCGGAAGAAAAUAAAAUAAAAAUAUACAUGCCAUAUCUAACCUGGCAUGCAUGUUGUAAGUACCUCCUCUUAGAAAAUCAUACUUUGUUAAAUGUUUGAUAGUAUAGUCUAAUACCUACCUUGGAGAAGAUGAAGCAAGAUUUUGACACUGGCGCCGGCAAAAGGCGGGAGUAUCGGACCUAGCACCAUCCCGGGGUUGAUCACUACUAACUCCAAACCCUCCUUGGAAGCGAAUUCCCAUGCCGCCUUCUCUGCUAGAGUUUUCGACAAGCAGUACCAGAGCUGACAUAUCAUGCAGAGAAAAGUAUCAGGUUCACAAUGUGAAGAUUGUUGCUAAAUUAGCCUUGUAGGAUGUUUCAAAGAGAAAUUUUUUGCUUUGUUGCAAAAUACAAUUCCUAUGUUUUUUUCUUUUUUAGGCAAAGGUAGCAUGCUACUGUUUCAUUCGUUAAGAAAGUGAAUUAAGCACCAAGUUGAAGCAGCAAGGCUUCGGAGGAGACAAAGAAAAAUCACUAAGCACUAUAAAUCUCCCACAGAUCCCUACACAAGCGUAUAUCCACUAGAACAACUCCUGUGUUAACUGAAGAAUACUUUGUUCUAGCAAAACUAAAUCUAUUCAAGGUCUGAAUUGGUACACGACAUCGCCGUCGACCUGAUAAGUCAUUCGUUCAAUAUUUAUCGAUCUUAUUCUGUGUCGAAACAUGAAGCGAUAUUAUUAUCAUCGCAAUUUUUCGACACACCACUACCUCUCAAGUUGUUACCAUCUCCAGUUUUUAUGCAUACCUGAAGCUUCUUGAGAAGAUCAACAUCAGCCCAGGAAUCUUCGUUCACGGCCACAUCGACGGGCCAGUCGGGGUUGGGGAUCAUCGCAGCUUGCGAAGACACCAGCACUACUCGGCCAACUCCGCAUUCUUUUGCGGCACGGAGAACGUUAAGCGUGCCCUUCACUGCAGGAUCCAGCAGCUCCUUCUGCACACAAUCCAAUUUUAAAAACACUCAAUUUGUUUGUUUAACUGCACUGCUAGUCUCCGAACUUCAAAUCCUAAGUCAAACAUUCGACACUUCAAAUUUUUAAAAGUUUCAACAGCUGAUGGGCGAGUUGUGCACUGAUAUAUAGAUGCGACAGCAAUAACUUUUUACGUGCGUAACAAAGCACGAAAAAUAAAGUACUUCUGAAAGUUUAGGAGGGUCGAAUAUCCAACUAAAAAAUUCGAGGAAAGUAAAACUUAGCCUAAAAGUUCGCAAACUUUAAGGUAUCAUUUGAUUUGGAUAUAAGUAAGAAUUAUCUAUUUCAGAGAUAGGUAUAACUUCAGAUCUAAGAAAGAACUAGAUCAAUUUUAUGUUUGGAUAAAAAUUGAGUUAUUUUCAAAAAUUAAAAAAAUACAUUUUGAAUAAAUUAGAUGAAAAAAGAAGAAUAGCCGGUACUUAUAAAUAAAUAAUAAUAUUAUUACCCCACUGAUUAUAUUUGAAUUUGAAUUUUUUAAUUUUAUAUUUAUAUUUUUAAUUUUAACUUUUAAAUUUUAAAAUUUGAAAUUAAAAUUUAAAAUCUCAAAUUUUAAAUUUUAAAUUUUAAACUUUAAAUUUAAGAUCAAAUUUAAAUUUAAAAAAUAUAAAAUAUCAAAUUUUAAAUUUAAAAAUUUUAAAUAUCAAAUUUAAAAUUUAGAAUAUAAUAUUAUAAACUUUAAUUUUGAGAUUAUGAAUUAUAAAUUAUAAAUUUUAAUUUUUUAAAUUUUAAAUUUUAAAAAUAAAAAUAGAGGGAAACAGAGUGUUUUUUCCAUAGAUAAUUAUUUAAUAUUAAUUAGAUUAAUUAAUAAUUUAAUAUUAUAAUUAAAAUUAAUUUUUAGAGUUUAAUUAAUCUUUGUUCUAGGUUGUUUCAGAGAUAAGGAUGGAACAGCAAUUUAAAGUUUAUAUCAAAUUAUACCAGCUUAUCCUACAUAUUCAAAAAUAGUAAUUUUCGAAUACGAAAAAUAACGUUUGAAUAUAAAGAAGAUAUAUACGAGAUUAUUCAUCUUUUAUCUCCGAACCAAAUAGUGUGUUGAUACAUUCUAUCGUACACCCAAAAGGGCAUUGCAAACCUCAGGAUCCUGCAGGCCGUCAAGUAUGAGAGGCGAGGCCAAGUGGAAGACGCCGGCGGUGCCAUUCACCGCGGCGAGGAUGGAUGUUGGGUCAAGGAGGUCCAUCUCAAAGAGCCAGAGACGUGACGCCGCGCCAUCGAGGGCUUCCAGGUGCUUCGUCUCCCCCUCGUCCUCUAAAAAAAAAAAUUAUAAAAAUAUAUAUACAUUUUGUUUAAGAAACAAAUAGCGUAAUAUCUGUUUCAUUCAUUAAAAUUUUUGAAAACAAAUUAGAACGUUAAAUUUUUGAAAAAUAAAUUAGAAUUUUUUAUACGAAGAGAUUCGAGCUGACAAAUAACAUUCAAUCCGUACUCCGAGAAAGAUUGUGUGUGCUGGAUACUAGAAAGUAACUUCUGAGUAUAUUAUUUUUAUAUUUUAGAGUGAUUAUAUUGGUAGAAACAUAUUGUAAAAUGUUACAAAACUUGUGGUCUCGCGUUUUGAGCAAUUGCUAAAGUAUAUAAAAUAAAUAUUUAUUUUUUAAAAAUUUAAACUAUCAGAUAAUAAAUACAGUUAAUAUUUAUAUUUAAGUAUCUAAGUAAAUUUUUUAAAAAAAUAAUAUAACGUCAUGAAUCUGGACAGAACUCGAAACUCUCUGUUCUGAUAUUAUAUUAAAUUAUAUAAAAUAUUAAAAAUAAUAAAUUUUUAGAGUAAUAUUACUGGUAAUAAUCUGACAAAUAUUAAAGAGUAAACAUAUAACAACAAAUUUAGAGGGGAAAAAAAAAUGAGAGAGAGUACUGAGAUUCUUGACGGUGGCGUGGACGGAGUAGCCGCGCUGCAGCAGGAAGCGGAGCAGCCACGAUCCGAUGAAGCCGCUCCCUCCGGUCACGCAAACGCGCAAACUGCUGCUGCCCUGCAUCGACAUCUCUUUCUUUUUUUUCCUCGCUCUCUCUACGUAAACUAUUAUUAUUUGCAAAAUUUGCUGCUUUUGUUUUUCAUCUCAGUGUGUGCAGUAUAUGUGCCUAUUUAUUUAUAAGUUUUAUGAAUGGGGAAUAUUUGAGAGGCUCCAAACACUCUCUCCAUCCCAGCAGGAUGGAUGUGGACGAGAGAUGUCAACGGUUGUAUUCGGGGUGGAUUUCUAAAAAUUUGAACCCGAGCCCGGCUCCAAACCCGAGAUCUGAAUCCGACGAAUUUUAAAAAUUCAUAUCCAAAUUCGAAUCCGACCAAAAAUUUGAAACUCGAAUCCGAAUCCGAAAAUUUAAACCCGAAACAAUUAUUUUUUUUUCAAUAUUUCAAAAUAUAAUAUAUUAAAUCUAAAUUUUUAAAAUAUAAAUUCAAAUAUAACAUCAAAUAUAUAUAUAUAUAUAUAUACUAGUUGAAUGUACGUGCAAAUGCACGUAACAAUUAUUAUAAUUUAUUUCAAAUUAAUAUAAAUUUGUACAUUAUAUAUAUCCAAAAUUUUACAAUAAAAAUUAUAUUUAUAAAUUAAUAUAUUAUAUUUUAUUAGAAAAUAUUUACAAUAUCCUAUAAUGUUCUUUUUUUUAUAUACAUCAAAUAUUUUUAUAUACUUUUUUAUUUCAGAUGAAUCAACUUUAAAUAUGUAUUUUAAACUAAAAGCAUUAAAAUUUAAUUCACAUUUACUUUAAAAUUUAAAAUUUAAUUUUGAUCCACUGUAAUAAAAAAAUUAAUUGUUAAUUCAAAUUUGAUACAAAUUAAAUUUAAUUCAUAAUUUAAACUCAAAUUUUAAUUUUAAUGUAAAAUAGAUGAAUAAAUAUUUGAGAUAUUUUUAAUUUUGAUCAUAACCGUUUGUUUUUAUUUGAGAUAUUUUUUAACAAAUUGAUUAUAAUCGUCCCUAGAAUUAAAUUUAUAAAUGGAUAGGAAUGAUGCUUUUUAGGGCUUGUUUGGUUCAUCCAUUUUGGGUAUGGAAUCGGAAUCGGUUUGAUCAAAUUCGGAUAAUUUUGUUUGGUUCGCAUAAAUCGGUUUGGGAUUCCUAUUCCGGACUGGAAUGGGAAUGGCCCAUUAGCCUUCAACUUGUUUCCGGUCUUCUAGCCCGGAUUGAAAUUUCAUUUCGGAAGCCCACUAAGUCCUCGAAGCCCAUGUGACCAUCUCACCCUCCUUCUCUUCACCCAUUUCUCAUCAAAAAAAAAAAAAAAACCUAUCCUCUCUCAAAACUCUAUCCCUAAUCCACAUGAAUAAAAGUUUUUAAAAAUAAAUUUGAUAUUUUUUUUGAAAAACUUAUUAGAGAAUAGUAUUAUAUUUUUCAUAAAUUUUAAAUAAUAUAAAUUUAUAUUUGAGAGUAAAAUUAGUAUUAUAGUAUCCUAUAAUUUUUUUAGUUUAUACGAAUCAAAUAAUGAAAUGUGAAUAACUCAUUCCAAUUCCGAAUCCACAAAUAAACCAAACAUCUUGGGGAAGUGGGUCAUUCCAAUUACCAUUCCAAUUCAUUCUCAUUCCAUUAUCCAUUCCAAUUCCACCCUUGAAUCAAACAAGCCUUAUAGAUGAUUAUAACGGUUUUUAUUUGAGAUAUUUUUUAAGGAAUAGAUAUUAAUAGAUGUAGAGAUUUAAUAGAUUGAUCAUAACUGUUCAUUUUAUUUGAGAUAUUUUUAACAAAUUAAUCAUAACCAUUGUAGAGAAUAUUAUUUUAUUCUUUUUUAGAUUCCGUCUGUCAUUGUCGGAAUUCCUAUACGCUUUUAUAUAUAGUAUAUAUAUAUAUAUAUAUAUAUAUAUAUAUAUAUAAAAUACAAAAUAAAUUCGGGUUCGGAUCGAAUUCGGGUUGGGUUCGGAUACAAUCAAAUUCCAUAUCUAAAUUCAUAUCGGUCGAGUUUUUAUAUUUUAUAUCCAUAUCUAAAUUCAUAUCCAUAUACGUCGAAUAUAUUCAUUUUAUUCGGAUUCGAAUUAGGAUAAAAUUUUGAAUAUUCAUAUCUAUUGACAUUUUAAUGUAAACCCUGCUCGUCUCUCUCCGGAAGCAGUGGGUCCUGGGAGCUGCAAUUUAAUGCGAAGAUUUGGAAUUCGGAAUUCAUUAAAUAUCAUUUAAUAGGUAGAUUCUUUUCGAUUAUUAAUACGAACGACAUAGUUGGGGUUCCGUCACUGUCACGUUCCGUUGUUACCUCCAUCUUUAUCUGUAGAGUUGGGACAUGAGCGAAUGCUCUCAAUAUUAUUGUUUUUGAAUUGCUAAGACUUAGUUUGGUAUUGAGAUCUAUAUAAUGUCAUUAGAUAUAUUAGAGUUAAAAAAAAAUAUAUAGAGAUAUACUUCUGCGUUCUCCGAUGGAACUGCAAAAAAUAUAUCGUAACCGACUAACCGCAAUAUUUGAAACGCAAGAAAAUAAACAUGUAAUUUUUUCAUCGUCUUAUAACACAAUCUUCCUGAAAUCCCAAACGAAGCCUAAGUUGGACCUGCUUUCUAAGAUGAUGUUUUUGUUUUUUCGGAUCCCUUUAUACGCUGUACAAUUAAUAUAUAUGUUGUUGACUUGAUAAUAAAUUUAAUAUUAGAAAUUUGAAGUGAUUGUCGAAAUUUUUAAAUUUAACAUAAGAAAUUUAAAAUUUAACUUUAUAAAUAGCAUUUUUCAUAAUUUUACAUACACUAUCCAACUAGUAGCAUUAUAAGAGAUAAAAAUAAUAAAUAAACUCGCAAACAAUAAAAUGGAUUAAAUCCCUACUUUUAAAAAAAUUCUGUCAGAUAUUUUGAAAAAAAAUAAUUAUUUGAAAUUAUAUUUGAAAUGACUGAUUAAAAGAACUAAAAUUUCAAAACUGUGUGGAAAAGUCGUAGUGUCAUAACUCCACACAUAGCACAAGAUAAUUGAGGACCUCCCAGUAUCCACAAACUAUACAAAUCAGAUUACUUCUUGCAUAUAGAUUCUCAUUAAAAUUAUUAAAUAUAAAUAUUCAAAAUAUUAUUUUUUGAUAAUUUAAAUUUUAAAAAAAAUAACCGGCGUUAAUAUGGUACCAGAAUAGGAGUUCUUGAGCACGUCUUAGGCGGAGAUAAACAAUAAAAAUGAAUAAAGAUUCCCUCCAUUAAUCCAAAAUGUCCCUAAUUAAGUGUUUGCUUUAUGUACGCUAUCUUAACUUUCGAAUUUUCUAAGUUUUAAAAUUUUAUUAAAUUUAAUGAUGAUAUAUUAGUUAGGGAAAACUUUAAAAAUCCCCCUGUGGUUUCACAUUUUUUCAUUUUAGUACCCUGUGGUUUAAAGUUUAUCAAGUUAGUACCAUGUGGUUUCUCACUUUAUCACUUUAAUACCCUGUGGUUUAAAGUGUAUCAAGUGAGUACCCUGUGGUUUUGCACUUUACUAUUUUAGUACCCUGUGGUUUUAAUUUUGUAUCAAGUUAGUACCUAUAAUUUUUUAAAUCACAGGGUACUUAAGUGAUAAAGUGUGAAACCACAGGGUACUAAAGUGAUAAAGUGCAAAAUCACGGGGUACUAACUUGAUAUACUUUAAACCACAUGGUGCUAAAAUGAUAAAGUGAGAAACCAUAGGGUACUAACUUGAUAUAUUUUAAACUAUACGGUACUAAAGUGAAAAAAUUAAAAUCACAAGGGGGUUUUCGAAGUUUUCCCUAUUAGUUAUUAGUGACUAACUUUUUUAGUUUUUUUAACUAGUUAAUUGAAAUAAUUAUGAAGUACGCAUUCGAUUUGUGAAUCGAUUUGGGAUUGAGACGACUACACUUAAGAUUGGAUUGAGUGGACGUAAUUAACCGACAAGGUCAUGAUGAGAUAGGCGAUUAUUGUUGAGUUAGCAAUUUGGAGCCAUUAUUAAGAAAAAUUGUAAUUGAAACAAGAGUGAAAAAUUGUAAUUGAAAGGAAGAGUGAAUUUUGUGAAAAAUUUUUAAGAAUUUUUUUUUCUUUUGUGUGUGUAAUAAAAUUGAAGAUUUAAUUACAAAUGGUAAGUUCACGUGAUGACGAUAGAUAUAAAAAGUAAGACAUAAAUGCUAAAGAUUUGGUAUUUUUGAUGAGAUUGGAAUGGGCAACAAUUUCCGGUGUCAAUGAAUCUAUUCCAUCUGCUCUUCAUUAUGUUUGUGAAUGGCAGAUACAACUGAUGAUCCGAUUACGAAACACUCAAAUACAUGACGAAUUAUUUUCUCAAAAUAGCUUUUUUUUCAAAAACUUUUUUUUCUGAUCGCAUGAAAGACUAGUAUUUUUAUUUUUUUAAAACUUUUUAUUCAAAAAACAAAAAUUAUAAAAAAUAAUAUUUUUAUGAAAUAUUUUUUAAAAAAAUUUAUUUUUUCUGUAAGAAUUUUGAGAGAAAGCACGCACCUCAGCCUCUUCCAGAAGAUGGCUGACAUGACAAUCAACUCUGAAAACUACUUGCUAAUUACGACACAUUUACAUGGCAUGAAAAAUUAUUUAUAAACUAUUUAUAAGGAUGCUCUUUGGAUGGCUAUAUACUAGGGCGAUUUGGGUUAUUCUGGCAGGAUUACUACAUUUGAUUCAUUCGGCAUGUAAUCUAUUCGGUAUUAUAGCAUUAUAAAAAAUAUAAAACUACACCGAAAAAUUAAGAAAAGCGUCUCUAAGCAUCAUUACUAUGUACUAAAUACCAACGUUUCAAAAAAUAUUGUCACAUGAAUUGUUUACUAUAUCAAACCAAUAUAUCGAUUGUAUUAUUAUUUUUAAUUUUCUGACACUUUGAAUUGUUAGGAUUUAAAAAAAUUCCGUCUGAAUAUAUUUCAUCAAUGAUACAUAUCCGACGACUCUUUAUCGAUAGAUUAUUUUAGAAUACUUUGUAAACAACGUUAAAUAUAAAAAAAAAUGCUCGUUAAAUAUUAUUUUUUUUAUAGUAAUACAAACACUGAUGAGUGAUUAUUAGAACUCUUGAGGUGCAUGCGUGUAAAAUUAAUCUUCUAAUUAAAUCCUUUUGUGGCAUCGGAGCAAUAACAUAUCCCCAGUGCAUCAACGGCCUGGGGAGGGAAGAUGCAUGUAACAUUCUUAAAGUGCCCAUAUGCUGCACAAAGCUUGAUGCAAUCUUUGUUUUCGCGACACUCCCCAACGUAUCCACCGACACCGUCAUAGCCCUUGUGAUCAUCUUCGGGGAGAAACCCUACACAGUAAAUAAGCAUCCAAUCAAUUACAUUACAUGUAUAUCAAUUAAAAAGAACUUGGGCCUUGAGAUUUUUUACAUUGCAAAUUAUCUAGCUCUGUAUCUAUCACUUCAAAUUUGAAAUUAUACAAAUUUUAGUGAAAAACUUAAUUUUCUUUAUUUUCUGGUGCUCAAAUUCAGAACCAACUUCACCCAUCAUACGGACACUUCCAAAGAAGUAACGUUUGAAAGGGUAUAUAUAUAUAUAUAAAAUCUCCAUAAAUAAAAAUGUUAAUUGAACUUUCAAAUAUAAAAGUUAAGGGAAUUUGCAUGAAUAAAUGGAAGAGGGAAAAAAAAGAAGAAGAAGUUUUUUUUGUUGAUUAUGUCGCAUACUGGUGGAUUGAAUAGUCGUGGCAAGAAACAGGAGGAGGAAGCUUAGCACUGUUAUGAAGCACUUGUUGGAAGCCUUUUUGAUCAGCUGAAACCUAAAAAGCAAAAGAUAAUAAUAAAAAAGAAGUUUGUAUAAAAGUUGGUUUAAUUUGGGAUUUAAUAAGAAGAACCAAUAUUUAAUAAGAAGAACCAAUAUUAUACUACCUUUUUUCUUGUAGAUUUCGCGCUCUUGCUCAUUGUUAAUGCCCUAUAUAUAUAGAGAGAGAGAGUAGGGCUAGAAUACUUGUAAAAGCAUCAUGAGGGUGAUACUUGUGUGUUUUUAGCCCUUGGAUAGAAAGAUGUGAGGUUGAGAUGAUGGUGGUAGGUGGUAUAUAUAUAUAUAUAUAUAUAUAUAUAUAUAUUUUAACUCGAGUAUACGAAAAUUUUCAUGUUCAGUAACCAUGAAUAUUCAAAAGCCGGGAACCUAAUUUCUUACACACCAAUUUUACUACACCCGAGGAAUCCCAACUCACUCAUCAAACAAUUUAUCAUACUAGAUUGCCUACUUUUACUAGUUUCUAUAUCUAGAUUGCCAUUUUUUAAAUGUUUGUGGUUUACGACACACGAAAAUGUUCGUGGUAUCGGCCUGAUAUAUAUAUAUAUAUAUAUAUAUAUCUCAACUCGAUACUAUGAAAAUGUUCAUAGUGGUAGUACUACGAUAAUCUAAAAUUCGAUAACCUAGAUGAAAAACUAAUAAUUACCGGGAACCUAAUUUGUGAUAAGGUGGAUGGNUCUUUCGGGACAACAUUAUUUGCAUAUUUAAUAAAAAGGUGUGAAUCUGACCCUCUUUUCAUUGAUACACUAGUCUCGUUAAUCUUUUUUAAAGAGGCAAUUUUUUAUAUAUUUCUAAAAAGUUUCAAUUUUUUUAAUUUACUUAAAAGACUAAUAAUAUAAAUAAAAAUUUAACGUUCUAAAUUCUUUCAAAUAUACCUCUUAAGUUAGGAUAAAAAAAUAUUUUGACCUUAUUUUAAUUGUAGUAAAAAUUUAAUUUAAAUUUAACCCAAGAUAACUUAACGAAUACUAACAACAACGGAGUUAUUUUUGAAUAAUAGAAAAAUACACGAAAACUAUAUUUGAAGCAAAAAAAAAAAGAAAUAUAUAAAAUAUUUCAAAAAUUUUGAAGGCUAUAUAGAUAAUUAUCUAUUCUUUUUAAUAUAGUAAAAAAAUUUUAAAAAAAAGUUUAAAUUUUUGAAAAAGUAGAUACAAAAUUUGUACAUUUUUUUUGGAUAUACAAAUAGUAAUUUUCUUUCUUCUAGGGGGGGUUGUUUUUAAUAAUGCUGCUAUGUGCAUGUACAAUCAUGUUGGUGGCCAGAGAAAUUAAAGGAAAGUUCCUUCGUGUGUACUUUUUCUUUUAUUUAUACAAAUCAUUUGAAUUAUUACUGUGUGAAGUGGAUGAACGUGCACCUUAUAAAAUGAGAAGGGAUAGGUCAAGAGGUAUAAGUACCCAUCAAAAGGAUUUGCAAGAUUGCAGGGAAAAAUUGACUCUGCUUUUUCCUAGUUGGUAUUAUUAUCCUUUCUCCAAAAAAACAAAAGGAAAAAAGAAAAAAAUUCCUAUGUAGGAGAAUAUAUGUGGGUCGUGCUGGGCCCAUGCUAUUAAAUAGAAAUUAGCCUGCGAUCACUUCACACUGGAGACAAGAUAGUUUUGGGUGCCAAUAAAUGAACAUGAAAAACAGUAAAUUUUCCACUGAAAGAUCUACUUUUAUUAUAUUUGCAAAAACUAAAGAAAAUGAAAAGCAUUCAUCGAAACUUCCAUUACAAUAGUAAUUCGCCAUUUUAAUAGGUAAUGGAUUGAACUAAAGAAGAAGCAGAAGAUAAAAGCUAAAGAAUCUAGCAUCAUUCAUCUCAUUGGCCCUCAUUACUGCUGCAUCUAUAUUAUGUUCUAACAGGACAUGAACCAGCUAUAAUAUUCAAAGGUCAAUAUGCAGGAAGAGCAUCCAACUAUAAAAGCGAGGCGGAUGUAACAAUUAAGUCCAUUCCCUUCCUAAUGUCUUAUGCAAUAGCAUGUCCCUCGUGCAGAAGCAUCUGAUCGAAAUGCCAAACUCCUGCACAAAAUCAGAGUAUAUUUUACGAAAGGAAAAAAGAAUAAACAUCGAAAUUUUAAGAUCAUGAUCUAUUAAGGGAGGAGAAAGAUGUCUCCUAAAGCCUUACCAUGUCCCUUGCCCACCAUUCUCAGCUGAGCAACAUAUUCAGACAUCUUUUUAAUGGCUUCCACCUGAACCGAAGAAAAAAAAGAGGGAAUUCGUAGAGGCAAUUUUAGCCAAGGAUAAAAUAUCCUAUAAAAUAAAAGAUACUGAAAAGGCAACAUGAAAAAGCAAGUUACAUCCUGUUGUAAUAAUACCAACUUAGUGUACGAUAUAGAUUCAAAAGGGCCAUAGAGAGAGUAAGUGGUUGAUUACUUAGAUACAAGCCGUAUGAUGAUAUCCCAACAUAAUAUUGGUAUAAUUCGAGAAAAAACAUGUUAGAAAAUUAUAUAUAACAAUAAUAAUAAUAAUUAAAUCCCUUAACAUGUUAGAAAAUUAGAAACGAAACACAAAAGUAAUACCCUGAUCCUGAAAUGGAAAAUAAAAGAAGAGUUAUUAAGAACAAAAAGCAGAUAACCAAAAGCUUUACCUGCUCCUCCAGAAAUUCACUUUCAAUGUAGUCUGCCAGCUGAGGAUCGCUGCACUUUUCUGCGACCUGUUGAUCGAGAUCAUAGAUGGCAUUGAAAAAUGAUCUUCGAUAAUGUUUUCCAAUACUCAUCAAAACUCUAAGGUUUCAUAUGCAGGGAUCACUUACACCGUGCAAUUUCAGAAGCUUCUCAUUUGUCAGUUUCUCAAGAGCUAAAGCCAACUCCAUUGCUGAACAAAUGAAAGAAAGUGUGUCAUAGCAAAUCUAAUUUGCAUCAGAUGCAGAAUAUAUUGCUAGUGAGCAUGCAUGAGCACAACCUUCUGGCUCGUUCAAUUUUAUUAUAUGAAAUAAUAAAUUAGUAAGGAAAGUAUGGCACUUGUUGGUGGGUAAUAUACCUUUCUAAUCUUAGGUUACUUUCAAACAACCCAAUACAAGACAUUAAUAUAAGAAAGACACAAAGAAACUUCUGAUAUGGAUAUUUUACUCUCCUUUUUUUUUUUUCUAAAUUUGCAAGGCACUAUUUAGUCAAAGUGCCAAAUAAAGUUUAAUCAAUAGACACAUAGUCACACUCAACUAGCAUAAUCAUAGUAUGAUGAUGCAACAAUUCAUUAUCUAAUACCAGUUUAUAAAGUAGAUUCUUCCUCGUUCUUGGCACCUCUAUAAGUUAUAUAUUUCACAAAUAGUAGAAACGAUGUGGAUGUAAAUUAUUAAAUAAAUGCAUAGACACGCUAUGCUAUUCAUGUAAACUUAUCAUGACAACAACAGAUGAGUAAAAUACAAUAUGACAAUUGAUCUACAAAUGGCUUUUUCCAUGCUAAAAAAGUAACGCCGACAAGAAGCGUACCAUACAAAGCAUCGCCUUUCUCAGCAUGAUCAAACUCACUUAAGGGCAUCAGUAUUGUCUGAAGCUUAACUCUGCCUCCACGUUUGUUCUAAAGACAUAAUAAUAAUAAUAAUAAUAAUAAUAAUAAUAAUUAAGUCCCUUACAUGUUAGAAAAUUAGAAAUGAAACACAAAAGUAAUACCCUGAUCCUGAAAUGGAAAACAAAAAAAAGAGAACGAUUAGAUAAAAUUAAGAAUCUUAGUAGAGACCUGGUACUUCAUAAGCUUCUCAGCAUGCUCCCUUUCCUCUUCGCUUGAUUCCUUGAAGAACCUGAGACCGAAGAAACCGACGCGUAGCUUAACAAUAUGAUCCCGCAGGCUUGAACAAAAUGAAAGAAAUGUUAAAUUUCAUCACAAAAUUACUUGGCAAGGCCCUUCAACGCGACGUUGUCCCGAUCAAAGUAUGCAAACAAGGCAUGAUACACGUAAGAAACGUUGUACUCAACACUGUAAACAAAAUCAAGAGAAAAAAAAAUAAUAAAUAGCACUAUGAAAUCACAUCGCAAACAGAUCAAAAGAAAAUAUAUGCAGUAAAAGAAUAAAAGUACUUGAACCAAACCAGAUGAUCCAAAGUGUCGGUUCUAAAAUAGAUCUUAGCCGUUAAUCACAAGAACAAACGGAAACAAAUCCACAAACAAUAAAAUAAUAUGUAGUAAAAUUGAAAGGAAACCGACUUGAUCUGUUCAUUGAUGGCGCCCUCGCAAUCAUCGGCGUACUUGUGGCGCGCGAGGGACUGGUCGAGGGCCUGGGGCACGAGCGCGAGCUCGCUCUUCACCUCCUCGAAGGGCUCGAAGACGACGCCGGUGAUGGCGCGGCUCGCCGACCCCCCCUUUGCGGCGGCCGCGAACAGCCUCCGGCGGGGGAGCCCCACGGCGGCCACGGCGGAGGGAAGGGAGAGCUCCGGCGAGCGCGAGAGGAGGGGGAAGGAGGGGGAGGAGGGGGCACGUAGAAGCAUGGCUAGGGUUUGGGAGGGGAAAUGGGAGGGGAGUGAGACCGAGGUGUGUGUUGGAAAUGGAGGGUGCGGGGGAGGAGGGCCAUGAUAUAGAGGGAGGGGCGAGGGUUUGGGGGGGUGUGGAUGCGCGACACGUGUACGGUGGGAUUAGAGAGGGUGGGAUGUGCGUGUGGAGGGCUCGUGGUCACCGCACGGCUUGAUCUUUCUACGGAUUGGUGGGGCGAGGAGGAAUCGUCGGGAUAUCCCCACCAUUUACAGGUUGGCAAUUUUUGNUUUUUUUUUUUUUUUUGGCUUUUUGGCUCCAUAAAAAUUUGUUAAAUUAUGCAAUAGUUAUUGGAAACUUAUUAUUCGUAUGAUAUAUUCGAAAAAGUCAUUAUUUUCAUAAUUUGAAAAAUAAUCAUCCCAAUAUUAAAAACUUUAAAAACUACUGUUUUUUAUUUUGAAAAAUGAUUAAAGAGUUUUUGUAAAUUUCUAGCGGUUACGGUUUUUAGAAAUUCAGUUUAUGAAUUUAGGGAAUGAUGUGGCUAUCGUUUGGAAUAAUUGGAUGACAAGACAUAGAACUCGGCCUACUCGUUCUAAACUGGCCGGAUUGAUAGUCUGUUGCUGCGUUAUUCAGAAAUAAUGUGAUUUUUAAAAAAGUUAAUACGAGUCCAUUCAACAGUCAAUAAAAUCGAGUACUUGAAGAACUUGUGGAAAUAAUUUAUCUCAAUAAAGUGGCUAGCCACUUCAUAUUCUCUUAAUUCUUUUAUUUAUUUUUUUCAUCUCGACCGAGCUCUACUAUCUCCUUCAUGUAAUCUAAUUCAUACUUCUAAUGAAUAAAGUAGUUAGCAUAUUAUCUUAAAAAAAUAUAUAUAUAGGGAGUUUUACUUGAAAAGAUAAGUUAAAGGGACAAAUGCAUUAGAGCUCGUUCUUUUGCAUAUAAGAAAUUAGCAUAUAAUUUUCUGAACAAUUCAAUCAUUCUAGUUAAUUCUUAAAAUAAGAUUAAUUAACUCUAAAAGUAAUGUGUUUCCGUAACGCCAUUUGCUUUGAACAUUCUUGGUAUUCACUGAACCAAAAUAGUUGACUCAUAAUUAUCGAAUUACAAUCCGUCGCGCAAUUAUUUCUCCAUAUUUUUACCUUAUUCAUUUUGUACGUAUUCAGUAAUUAAAUAGACAUUAACAGAAAAUUUUCUCCAUGGUUAGAAGCAAUCUCUCAAAUUUUAGUAUAAGCUGAGUUCUAAAAGGUGCCCUAUGUCUACAUGGUUUCACUCUACUAAGAACUCACAAAAAAUAAUAUGUAAACGUGUAAAUAUAACGGACAGAAUAAAAUAUCUCAGUACAUACUAAGAUACAAUAAAUUUUAAACAGAUUAGCUAAACAGAAACACUAUAAAGAUUUUGUAAACAACACAAAAAACAAAAAUAAGACAUGUUAAUCCUACUGCUCAACCCAAAUGAUUUUCCACAAGUUUGGUACGAAAUAAUCGGCUUACUUCGAACAACUCUGUUGCCAUUCCUAAUUAUCGAACUGCUCGAUUCAAGAUCAGCCUCUUAACGUCUUAAAAAUAUAUUAUUAUACAUAUAAAAAUAUGAAAUUUAAUUUUUAAAUAAUUUAAAUGGUAUAGAUCAUGUUAAAUAAUAUCGAUGGUGACGGUGACAGGGAAAAAAAAGAGAUAAGGAAAAAGCGACAGGGGUGGCACAUGCUCAGCACUUGCGGAGUUUGGGUCCCGUCGCAAUCCGGUGCGCGUGGAUGGCUCACGCUCUGUGUGGACGGAGAUUCCACGUGCUCGGUCCGCAGAAGAUCCAACCUUUAACUGGGUCAUUGUUAGCCUCACUGACACGUCUCUUUGACUCCCUUUUCCCUUCCCCACCACAACUUUAAUUGUCUAAUAAUAAUAAUAAUAAUAAUAAUAAUAUAAUAAUAAUAAUACCCCUUCACUAAUUUACCGCGACGUGACCUUUUGUUUCCUCGUGCUUUAGAAAAGCUUUCUAGAUUGUUACUGAAAAGACCCAUCUUUUCAAAAAGUAAACAAACUUGUGCAUAUUAAGAGGUUUUUAAAUUGAUUUAAAAAGAAAAGUUUAGGACUGAUUUUAAUACUAUAGUAUUCAAAAGAUCUGCAUUGCAGUAAAUAAUUUUGAGAUACAGAGACCAUAUAUUAGAGAGGAAACACAAGAAAGAGAGAGAGAGAGAGAGAGAGAGAGAGAGAGAGAGGAGAUUAAGAGCUACCGUUUAUGAUCGUGUGCAUUGAAAGUGUUUUUCUUUGUUGUAAGUUUGUGAUUUAUCAAACACUUUCAUUCAAGUGAUUAGCUCCGGUGAUAAUUCUACUCAAGUAGGAAUAUUUGAAGAUAUAUUAUAAGUACCAAGUGCUUGAUAUACAGUAAUUUUUUAUUGUAAGAUAAAUUAGGUUACUAUACUAUUAAUAGUAUUAAGUAUUUGGUAUUAUUAGAUUUCGAUUUUUGAAUGAGAGGAUGUGCGGUUAUAAUAAUAAUGAUUCUUUAGUUUUGAGAAAAUGAUUGAUUGAAUAGUAUAAUCUAACGGGUAAAAAUAAUAUAAAAAAAGGAUAGAUUUAACAACAGAAAACUCGAUAGCACUAGACGCUUAAUAUUAUCGAUAGUAUAGUAGUACAAGAGAUGCACAUAUAUAUUUCGAACCAAAAAUCUUUUCUCUUGAUGUAAAAUUUAGUUUAGUCUCCCGUCAUACAUUAAAAAAAAAAAAAAGAGGGUUGAGAAACACGAACUAUGCCACCUAAUGCAGUUCCUCUUUACAACUUGAUAACAACAACUAAGCAAUAAAUGGUCGAUGGUAAUCUUCUAUAUAGAGUAGAUGAGCACGCACACUAACUUAAUUUCAGGAGGGAAAGUGACAGGUGGGGUUGGUGGUGCCAAAAAAAGAAAAAGGUCUGGGAAUCAUUCAUUUGCAGACAUGCUGAUGGCAAUGGAUUCCUCAGUACAGAGCGUUCACAUGCUCGACACACGCCACGCACCAACCGAAGAGGACACACGCCCCUCUGGCGUCGUGGCAUUUGACAUGUUUGUCGUUGCCUGAGGACGUGUUUAUCUGCCGAGCAAUGCUACAUAAAAAAUUUAAUAAUUGAGUUUGAAUUCUAGUUAAUUUAUAUUUUUAAUUAAAUUUAUUUUUUAAAAUAAAAUAAAUAAAACGGGUAGCAUGAUACCUAUCUUUCAAAAAAAAUAUAUUACAUGUACGUUUUAUUUGAAGUGUAUAUUCUGCAUCUCAUCUAUCUAAUGAGUGAAAUAUUUUUAUUAAGUUGCUGAUAGUUAACACUUCAUCCAUUAAAUGAACGGGGUAUAAAUUGUACACCCCGAAUGGAGGUGUAUCUACAUGUAGCAUUUUUCUUAUCUGCUUUUGGCUUCUCCUCUUCUCCCAUAAAUGAUUCUCAAUGUACUUGUAAGUUUAUGUAAGUGCUCUAUCUAUAUUUAUGAACUAGUUAAUGGCAUUCAUUUUAUAUGUAUAUAUCAACACAUUAACAGUAAAAAAACAAAGGCAUGCAUUUUAGAAUAACCGUCGCGGCAUUCUUAGUUGCUGCUAAGGGAGCAUUUGGUUCAACGUAAAAUAAAAAAAAAAUAAUUUUUGGUGAAAAACAAGUUUUCUGUUUUGUGGCAUUUAGUUUGUAAGAAAAAAAAUUAAUAGUUUUUUUAUCAAUAUUUGUUUUGUUGGAAAGAAAAAAAUUCACAUUUGUUUGAUUUGAUAGAAAAAAAUGAAUGAAAAAAAUUUAUAUGUAGUUUUAGUUUUCAUUUUUCGUCGAGAAAUAGCGAAAAACAAAAAAUUAAAAUUUUUUUCCAAAUCCAAAAAAAUAUUUUUAUGUUAAAAGAAAAAAUAUUUUUUAUACUGAAAAUAAUUUUUCGUCUCGUUUUACAGAAAACCAAAAGGGGCUUUUGUUUUUUCAAAAAAAAAUGAAAAGCUAUUUUUUUCGGAAUAAAAUUUUUCAUAGAAAAUAUCAUUAUUUUUCAAAUUUUUUAGUUUUCACAUUUUUUUUUUUUUUAAAAACACUAAUUUUCUAUAAAAAUCUAAAAAAAAUCAGAACUUUCGAGAAGUUGGAAAAAGGCUAUUUUUUUUAAAUUUCUUAAAUUUAAUUAUUAAUUAUUGAUUGUUUUUGAUCAAAUAUGAUAUCCAUAAUAGAAAUGAUUGAUUAACACCGCCCUUUGGAAUACUGUAUGAAUGAAGCUACUUGAAAAUGAAUUACAGCAACAGUUUUUCAGUAGACCAUCUCCAAAAGCCCUUCACUUGUAAAUUCAGGAGCUUUGAAUCUAACCAUCUACUUUUACGACCUAAAAAGCUAGUUAGGAAUUAUCGAUGGAGCUUGUCGACAUAGUAAAAAAAUUCGUGAACUCGGACUUCGUUUCUCCUGAUCUUAUGAGUUCCAUGCAACCAGAACAGGUGCCAUAACAAAUUAACACGAAAAAAAUUAAAUUCAAUCAUGUAAGGAGAAGUUCACUAUUGCAACCAAAGUAUCAAAGAUCAACUGCACAAGUUCCAUCUAUAGUAGAAUCUCAUCAUAAGAUUGCUCUGCUCUUUAAAAAAAGAUGAAUUUAAAUCAAUAAAUAGUCAGAAAAAUCUUUUCCAUGCGGCGUAUUGUCCUUGAUUGAGAACACAUAAAAAAUUAUAUACAAUUAUACAGAACAGAAAGCUCUCUCGGAAGGGGGAAAAAAGGAAAAAGAUGGAACUGAGAAGAAAAUUCUUCAUCUUGACAAAAGAUGCUGCAGGUGCUCCUGAGCACGACUUUCCUUCAACUUUCCCUUCAGCGAAAGUUUGUCACCAUAAAUUGCAAUUUUCCAGCAGCCAGCUUGGAAUAUGAAGACUGAACCCAUUUUCGGUACAACUGUAGAUGUCAUUGACAUGUGUUAUCAGUUUCCCACAACUAGAACUGGAUUCAGAAUAUAUAUAUAAUAAUUAUGAAGUUUUCAUGUGCUAAUUGAAUUGCAAAAGAAAGGAAGGAAAAAGAUUGAAAAGCAUCCACAGCAUCUUAAUUCCGUAUCUUUAUUCUCCUAAACCAAAUAUGAUUACUGAUAAGCUGCUCUAAAAGCUCGUUUCCAAAUUGUAAAGAAGAAAAUUUAGGUUGUCUGAUCAACUACGGAAAGGAAGUAGGAUUCACCUUGAUUGCGUAAUCCUAGUUUAACUAACAACAUAAGCAACAGUAAGAUGGGUGAAGGGUAAUGACUUGACGAGCUAAGUGCAACUCCGUCAUAUUCAUAUAAACCACGUGUUUGUAUUCAAUUAAAUCAAACUACUACUACUACUAAGAAGCAAAAAAAGACCGCACCAACAGGCUAGAGGAAUUAGUUUCAAAUUCCUAACAUAUACUCUAUAGAUUACAAAACUGCAGAAUGAAGGAAGAUGAAUAACUAAACAAAAGAUGCUCAUUAUAGUAGGUAAAGUAGUCUCUGAAGGAUAUAUCCAGUAUUUUGUGUUAAAUAAUUUAGAUACGCAAAGGAAAAACAUUAAGCUAGUUAUUUUGACUGGAACUUGUGAGUACCUCUGAAGCGAUUGUCCUCUGUAAUUAUUCCAAAAGUCUCUGCAGUAUCACGAAUCAUAAUACCACUUACACCUUUAAAGGUGACAUCUCUGCACUCAACAACUGCAAUUUGUCACAGCUAAAUAAGUUCCUUGCAUGCAUAAACUACUAACUAAAGCAAUCAAUGGCAACCAAAUAAACCAAGCAUAAUACAUGAUAAAGCAAUAUGAAUUACCUAGAAGAUAGGCACCGUGUAAGUCAGCAGUUAACAGGCGGUCGCUUAAUUUCUUUUUCCUGAAUAUGCAGUAGGGAAAGAUUCACUCACCAAUAGCAGAUAAAGGUAAAGAGUAUGUAUUAAUAAACAAAAAAUAAUAAAGAGAGAAAAACAAGUCAACUAAAUAAGAAAGUUUACCCAUUUUCUUUUGUGAGCUCAUUAAUGUACUCUUUCCACAUUUCAUGCAUUGGCUUAAAAAGAUCAAAGCUACACGAAAUACCAGUCAUAAGAUUUUAAGAAAAUGAGAAUUUAACAAAGAAAGUAAGAGGCAACAUCAGAAUUUCAACAACUUUCAAGCUAGAAAUAUCCUUACGGACUACAAAGGGAUAUUAUAUGAUCUCUAGAUUAAUAGAGACAUCUUACUGCUCCUACUUCCAAUCUGUAGGUUCUAACCAGAGCGAUCUAUCUAUACCCAACGUUCUUAAUGGCAGUUUUAGGUCAAUAACCUAAUUGUAGAUUCUUUUCAACUCUUAAGUGUGGUUCUAUCCCGACAAUCAGAAGUUUAGGAAUAAAAAAACAAAACACUACAAAUAACCUCAGUUGCUCCAAAUUUGACUUCUCAUUCUUACUUUUUUCAAGUAAUGGUUUUGGCGCAUCUUUCCACAUGAAGUAAACUUAUACUGUAUAAUUCAGUUUCUGUUUGCAAAAAUUAUAUCCUGCCAAUUUGGUUAAUAACAUAACCUACUGUUUUCAUGGUUUAUCAAUAUCUCUGCCUACCCAACCAUACCAGUGCAUGUGAAAACUACAUAAUUUCCUUGAAGUUAAGCAAAAGCAAUACAAAAUAAGCUGUCAAGAAACGGUAAAAAAUGAAUAUAUAUAUAUAUAUAUAUAUAUAUAUAUAUAUAUAUACACUAGGAGUUUUCUAUCCCGUAUAAGAUUAACUUGUGGAACUCCUUGGGCAAAUUAAAUGACCCAACUUUCCGAUGUUGCUUCAUCGACAUAUGCUUCUUCGACCUCUUCGAGUGACUCUUUAAUGCUCUCAUGCGGGCGUCCGCUAACCCAUCGUUCUUUGCAACAUAGUUAUCAAGCAAAAUCCAACUAUCCAAUUUUAAGCUCUUAGCUCCCCUCGCAAACUUCCCAGCUUCUUCGCCCUUCCCAAUGAUAUCACCAACAAUUCUGUGAACCGCAUCCCUUCUACUCGAAUCCUUCACAAAAUUUGAACACAGGAAUGCAAUUACAGAUACAAUUGCGACUAAAAAAGGUACUUUAAUCUCAUUGUUACCAUAAUAGCAGCUUGUAGCAAGUUUUCGUGCAUUGUUUCACAGAUCUUCGAAUAAACAGGAUGUGUUUCUCCAUCUAGAAUGCGUAAAAGAAGGAUUUUGAGUUAAGUAUAACAACUAUAGGUAAGAAAAAGCAACAAUACAUUAAAUAAGAACCUGAGAUCCUCCGUUGGGGAGUGGCAUUUGAGGAUCCCGAGUCUCCUGAGAAGAAUCCAAAACCACGAUAUCGAUUCUCUUCAAACACCGAAUAGUCGAACCCUAGAACAAAAGGGGCUAUGAUCGAAUCGAACCUUUAAUGGAGUAAGAGGGAUCGGAUAUUGAAGGAGGAGAAGAGAGUGUGGCGUCGGAGGCAGCGACGGGUUGCUUUGGGUCGUGGGAUUGGGGUCUUCGCGAGGGAUCGCUGCUCCUCUUCUUGCUUCUGAGGUGAUCUUCGUGGAGGAGAUCGGAUUUGGCAGCGGCAGCGAACCUCCGCUCCAGGGCAUCGAAGGCGCGCUUCUUCUGGUCGGAGACGACGGGGCUAGGGUUCGCGGACGCCAUUAGAGGUCCUCGCGAAGGUUCUUCGGCUAUAUGAGAUGCUUCGAGGGCGAUUGAGAAAAAGCACGCGCACUCAAAGAGCGGGAGCGUUUAACCGGACCGGAAAGGUAAGAAACUAGAAAAUACAGAACCGGAAUCGAACCGGAUUACUUUAUAGCAAUUUAAUGAAAAAAAAAAAAAGAAAAAACAAAGUACGAAAAUCAAAUGGGAAAAUCCAAAAUUUUACCUAAAUUUGAAUCGGAACUUGAUGAGUUUAAUUAUUAUUUUUAAAUAAUUAAAUUUUAAAUUUGAUAUUUUAUAUUUGUAUAUUUAAAUUUUUUAAUUUGAGAUUUAAAAAUAAAGAUUUUAAUUUUGAAAUAUUAAUUUUAAAUUUUAAAUUUUAAAUUAUUGUUUUUAAUUCCUUUUAAAUUAUAAAUUUUUGACAUUUUAUAUUUGUAACUUUAAAUUUUAAAUUUGAGAUUUAAAAAAUAAAAAAAUUAAAUUUAAAAUUAAAAUUAUUAAUUUUAAUUAUUUAAGUUUUAAAUUUAAAUUCAAAUAUAAAAAUUAGGGCAAAAUUAUUUUUUUUAUUUAUAAUAGCUCACUAUUCUUUUUAUCUCACUUACUCCUACCUGGACUACUCUUACCUGAACCCAAUUUUCAACCAAAUACAAAAUUACUCUAAUCCCCCCUUAACCGUCGCCUUAACCAUGAAUUUAACACUAUCCAUGGAUUAGCAAGUGUUUUAUUUAACCCCGAGCAAAACGGUGGCUAAGGGUGUGUUUGAUUCCACGUAAAACUGUGGAAAAAUAAUUUUCGGUGGAAAAAAAAUAUUUUACGUAAAAAAAGUAGUUUUCCACGACGGUUGUCAAAAAAAAAUUAUAAAUAAUAUAUAUAUAUAUAUAAUUUUAUAUUUUAUAUAUUAUUAAUACAUAAUUAUUAUCAUAUUAUAUAUAUUAGUAUUAUAGUUUAUAUUUACUAAAUAAAAUAUAUUUAAAAUACAUUAUGCAAUAAUUAAAUAUAUAAUAUUAUAUAAUAAAUAUAUUUAUAAAUAAUAUAUAUAUAUAUAUNCACCACAAUGGAUGUAGUGUCAUCAAUGAUGGGACCGUUGAUGCACACUAUCCGCUCCUUCUCCUUAAUAACGGGGAAAACUCGAUAGCACCAAAUCCUUGUGCUAUCGAUAAUACCCCAGCCGGACUCUAUAUAUAUAUAUAUAUAUAUAUAUAUAUAUAUAUAUAUAUAUAUAUAUAUGUUAUAUAUAUUUUAUAUAAAUGAAAAAAAAGAAGAAGAUGGGGAGAGAGGUCCAUCGCACUCCACUCCAGUGGACCACUCUGUCGAGGUCCAGGACAAGUGCUCUUAUUCUAUUAAUAGGAUAGUAGUCAGACUCAAGUAUAUUUAUAUAUAUACUGUUUCGUUGCCUAAAGGAAAAAAUAAAAAUUUUUUUUAAAAAAAGCUACAGUAAAAUUAUUUUUUAUAUAGUAAAAUUCUUUGGUAAAAUAAAAAUAUAUUUACUAUAGAAAUUUCUUGUGGACUAGUUGUACGGAUUUUUAAAAAUAUUUAUUGUUUUUGGCUCCUUAAAAAAAAAAAAUUGCUACUGCAAAAUUAAUUUUAAACAAUUUUGCUCUAAGUGGGAUUUGAACCUACAGUUUCUAAAAGCACGGUUUUUUAGCGCGAUCACCUAACAAGCAGCACUAAUACUAUUGCAUUUUUUUAUUGUUACAGUUAGGGGUGGCAAUCCAGCUCGCUAUUCGCGAGCUAGCUCGUGGUCGGCUCGAAAUGAGCUCGAGAUCGGCUCGCUCGUUUAAUAAACGAGCCGAACAUGAGCUAAUUGUUUCAAGCGCUCAUUUAAUACAGCGAACACGGACUGAGGUUUAACCUCGUCGUAUUCGGAUUGAUAAGGUUCAGAAUACAUAUGAUUUAUAUUUAUAUAAUUUAUUUAUUUAUAUUUUUAUAUAUAAAUAAAUAAUUAUAUAUAAUAUAUAUUUUUAUUAUUUAAUUUUUAGUAAAAUAAAAAUAUAAAUGCGAGCUUAAUUAUAAAAAAAAACUCAUUUAUAUGUAAAAUUUCAAUUAUUAGAUCAAAGUCUAAUUAAUAAGAUUUUACAAAUUUAUUUUUUAUAUAUAUUUAAUUUAAUUUUUUUAAUUUAUUGUUCGUUGGUUUGCUCGUGAGCCAGCUCGUGUUCGGCUCGUUAAUAAACGAGCCAAACAUGACCUGAAUUUUUCGGUUCUAUAUUUUAACGAACCAGCUCGUGUUCGGCUGGUUUACACCCCUGGUUGCAGUCAUUGUAAACUCUAUUUGUUGGAUUUAAUACCACAACUAUCUAACUUCUCAGCACGACUACGCAUCUAACUUCUCAGCGCAAGGGCGACGUGACAGAAUGCCGGUACCAAGCUACCGUCGGUGGACACUCCUCCACAAAAAAUUAAUUUAAUAUCAAGGUUGGCACAUGGCCCACAUAUAUCAAAUAUUAAAUUUUUGUGAAAAUUAUAAAUUUAAUUAGAACUCUGAAUUAAUUGAAAAAUUAGAUUUGGUUCAGCAAAUCAAAUGGGGCGAUGUGAACUUUUGUUAAAUCGUGCUCUGAUUUGCAGGUCAUUCUAUUUUUUUUUUUUUAACCUACAGUAAAAUCAUAUCUUUUUUUUUAAAAAAAUGUUUUUUUUAAUCCAUACACAUAAACUAAUUUUACUGUAGCGAACUUGCUUUUUUUUUUAAAAAAAAUAUUACAGUAAAAUUUAUUUCCGUUUGUUUGUUUUUUUUAAAUAUAACAAUAGUACCACAAAAAGUUAUCUAUACAAAAAUAAAGAUAUGCAGUUUAAACUAUAAAGAUAUGCGAUUAUUAAUUUAAAGUGCUAAUCCCGAGAUAUUUAAAUUUAAACGACAAAUCGUACAGUCAAAAUAUAAAAAAAAGAGUUACAUACAAUAUAUAUAUUUAUAUAUUUUAAUAAAUUAGAUCCGUCAGAUUUAAUCACAAUCAAAUAGAAAAAUACGCUUUAAAUUGUUGAAACAAAUACCGCAUAGGAAUCUGAUUGUGAUAUAAAUCUAACUAAUUUUGUGAUGAAAAUAAAUAAAUCAAACUUACAGAUAAACGGAAAUAUUCAAAUAAAAAUCUGAUUUUAUCCGGAAGAGUACGAGGCACAGUGCUAAGACGUAUUUCCGUCCUUAGGUGCGAGAUUAACCGGAAAUAACACCUAAGGUACAACCGAAAUUCCUCUUUCUACUAGGAGGAUCGUGAAGGAGAUUGACGGAGAUUCUUAAUACCCAGUAGAUAAAAAUGGAAUAUUCAAAAAUGAAAGAUGAAAGAAAUAAUAAUAGAUGAGGAUUAAUCAAUGGUCCAAUAUAUUUUUUUUACCUACUCUGUAUGAAACAGAGGAGGAAAAGAGGAAGAGGAAGCCGAUUUAACAGAAAAAGGUGUAUCCCGCGCAACAGAAUGAGAUUCCGUUUGGCGAAAAAAACGGAACGACAAAAAAAUAUAUUGUUCGUUUCUUUUUCAUUAAAAAAGAUAAUAAAAUAAAUAAAAUAAAAUAAAAUAAAUAAAAAUAAUAAAUAAAUAAUUUAAUAAAUAAAUUUAAAGUUCAAAUGAAAUAAAUUUAAACUCAAAAUUUUUAAUUUUUCACCAACAUGGUAUACGAAAUAGUAAAAUAGUCGAAGUUGAUCGUGUCGAGCCUAUAACGAGAAUUGCCGCUCGAUCAACCCGUUCGACCAUGUCGAGUCUAGUGCGAAAAUGAUCGCACGGUUUAGAAAUUAGCAAUAUAUAGGCAUGACGAAAAUGACGAUUUGAUGUUAGAUUUAAUAGAUUCGAACAUAUCACAAAAAUAAUUGGAUUAAUCAAAUCAACAAGAAAAUCUCACUUGCACCAUCUGUAUGCAUGCAUUACCUUUUGUUGUUGGAGAAGUCGCCAUGAUCGUCAUAUCGUUCUCGUCGGAAUCGUGGCAGCCAUCGCCCUCGUGAUUGAGCUUAACUCCUUUUCUUUUUACUUUCUUUUUCUCUUUUUGUCUUUUAUUUAUUUUUUUAUUUUUUUGUUGGCACGAGAGAGGGGACCCAACUCCCUCCUCCCCCCUUCCCCCCCUCUCUCUUUCUCUCUCUCUAUCUCUCUCUCUCUCUAUGUACGAACGAGAGAGAGAGAACGAGGGGCGGGAUCUCCUCCCCACACGCCUUCUCUCCCUUUGUUUUUUCGCUUUUUUUUUUUUUUCAAAGAUCCUCUUUUUUUUUUUUAGUCCCAUUGUUUAAUUUAUAGUAACCCUUUUGAUGGGUUGUUUUAGAAACUUUUCAAAAUAUUUUGAAAAUAAGGCAAUCCUAUUUUCAUUAUUACUUUUUUUUUUUUGUGUGGGUAAUAGGGUAUUUAAGAAAAGUACAAUCAAACCAUAAUUUAUUAUUUUCUUCUAUAUUCUCAAUUUAAAUUUAAAUUAUUUUUAUCUCGAACAGUCUGUGUGUGGGAGAUUUAAUAUACAAUUUGUCUUUUUUAUGUUCUGGUUGGUGCAUCUAUGGACCGGAUUCCUAAACUCCUAGGUGAACUACUAAAAAAAGCGUAUUUUGCUUAGAUAAUAAAACUGAGUCUAUCAGUUUUGGAAAACUAAAAUAAAGAGAAAAACAAACCAGACACUAGCUACGACCAAAAAAUUAGUUUUUUUAUAAAAAAAUAACAAGUUCGCAUUGAAAAUAAACAACAACAGAUCAAGCAAGCACCAAUGCCCCUCGCAUUACAAACAAAAAUAAAUCACCAAAUUACUUUUACUGUAAACAUAACAAGUUCCUGAAUUAAUCUCACCUGCAAUGUUGCAGUAAAAAGAUAUCUAUUUUUAACAACGUGAAAACUCAAUCUAAGCUGUAUAAUACCUAACGACCUUGUAGCAGGACCUAAAAUUCAGGAUGCACUCUUUGCUGUAGACGAAGAGGUACAUAUGAAGGAAACCUUAGCCAAGAUAGUACUAAAAUAGUUUGCUGUCACAAAGUUUCACAAAGUGAUUCCCAAAAUUACUUACAUAACUUUUAAUGUAAAAAAAAUAUUUUAUUCCUGCCGUUCCAAUACAGCUAUUUGAAUUUACUCCACACUAAGUCGACAAAUUGGACAGGUCCACGCGCGUUCGAACCAACUAUCAAUGCAGCCAUGAUGGAAGCUAUGAGCGCAAGGAAGCCAUUCGACCGCCAACUCCUCUCCGAAUAACUUAUCCAAGCAGAUCGGACAGCACGAAGAAUCUGCAUCUGUAGGCAGCACGGUCGUGAGUCUCGGUUGUCGGUCCAUAGGAGAAUACAAAGGAUCUGCAUCUGUAGCUACGGUUGCGAGUUCAGGCCUUAUGUUUGUAAUGUUAUACAGACGAUUCGGAUCCGAAUCCAAUACUACGGUGAUUUCAAACCCAAGCAUAAAGCCUCCGGAGCCGCACGACUUUACAGCUUUAUGUACUUUGUCCCGCAAAUGCCGCUCUAUGCAGAGUCUACCGAGGCUGUCGGGAGGCAGGCGGCCCAGAAAAGGAAUGGCCACGUCGAGCUUCUGGAAGAUCUCGGUCAUGCUGCCAUCCAGGUUCUUGAUGAAGCAGCUGACGUCUUUGGCGAUUGUCGUCGUGAUUCUCGUGCUGUCGUAGUGAUAAUAGACCUUGCCAAGCUCCGGUUUCUCGAUCCCCUUGAAGCUGAUCUCCAGUACGAUCCACGGCUGAUCCAACCGCAACUUACUUGAGAUAAUCACCAUAAUUUCUGCUAUCCAGAAUAGAGAAUUAAUUAGAGAGAAUAUGAGGCAAAGAUUAAUUCAGAAUAGAGAACUAAAGAGAAUAUGAGGCAGGCGAGGGUCAAUUAAGCAAUCGCUCUUCAUACAUAUGCGUGUGCGUGUGCAUAUAUAUAUAUAUAUAUAUAUAUAUAUGGGACAAGGAUUCCUAUAUAUUCUGCCGGAAAUCCGAAUAGAGAUUCCUAGUCCAAACCAAUCUAGGCUUCGUUUCACAUAGACUCGGCGACUACUAUGAGCAAUACGAGAUAUAUAUAGAUUUUUAUACUAAAUAAUAUGAGAUAAUAUAGACUAGGUGAAAAUUGAUUAGAGAUAUAGAUUGGGUGAAAAUUGAGUAGAUUAAAGUUUUUUUUUUUUUUUUCUUUCUCUGAUAAUGUGCUGGUUCCAACCUCAUAGAUACAAUCUCGAAUUGGUGACUUUUAAUAAUCAAUCUCAUAGAUACAAAUUAUUCAUCAUGCCAGGAAGAAAUCAAAACAAAAUCAAUUAAAUAAAAUACUUUAACAUACAAAAUUAGACCAGACAAAAAGAGAACCUGAGACUUGACCUUUUGGGCGAUACGGGAUGGAGAAUGGGCGGGACGAGCCGUCGAAGACGCAGGGCCGAAUCGAAGGAGGAGAUGUGAGAGAGACGGGGUGCGAUUUAGAAACCCUAGAUUGGUGUAGGAGGAGAUGCGAGAGAAAUCAAAAAUCUGGAUCUAAUAAUCCGCCUGGCGAGCUUUGCAUAAUACAUCCCUAGUCCCAACUUUUAUAUAUAUAUAGCGGGUCGGAUAUAUUGUUAUGAAUAUGGAUUGGGAUUAUCACAAAUCAAGAUCCGAGUUUGAAAAUUUGUUGGAUUUGGAUUUGGAUUUGAAUUCGGAUUCACUAUUUUUUUCUUUGGAUUCGGAUUUAUAUAUAUUUAUUUAUUACAUAUAGUAUUUUAUUUUUAAAUAAAAAUGGUAUUAUAUAAUAUUUUAUUUAUAAGAAUAAUAUAGUUUGCUAUUUUUUUAUUUAAUUAGCUUAAUUUUGUAGCUCUUUAUUUUUUAUAUCAUUAAGAAAUAUGAGUAUUUAUGCUAAUAACAUAGCAUAAAUCUUGAGAGAAAAAAAAUAAUAAUAGCCGAAUUUUUUAUUCCGAAUUUUUUUUUUUUUGAGAAAUUAUUCCGAAUUUUUAAUUGGUGAACGUAUAGGGUGUGCUUGUUUAGGUGAAAGUGAGGGGAAAGUGGGGAAAGGGGAAGUUGUUUAUACUGUAAACUAUCACUUCCGUUGUUUGUUUUAUCAUAAUUUUAUUACGGCGGAAGGUCAAAUUCACCCAAAAUAGGGUAAUUGACUUCGCCGAGGUAAAAGAAUUUGUUAAAAUUAGUUAGGUAAUGUGAUCAAAUUUGGUUAGCUAAAUUUUAAUAUAUUUUUUUGUCUAAUUUGUAUAUUUAGAAAAUGACAAAAAAUAAAUUUGUUAAAUAUUAAUAAUUUUUUAACUUUAGAACUUUAUUUAUUGCAUUAUUAUAAUUUAUAUGCAAACAAAUAAUAUAAUUUUUUAAAAUUUUAUUUUAUAAUUAUACAUAUAUAUAUAUAUAUACAUAUAUAAUUAUAUUAAUUUUUAUUUAUUAUAAUUUAUUAUUCACUAAGUUAUAAAAUAGACAAUGAUAUCACUUCGGAGAUAAGUAUACCGGUGGUGGAGAACUACAUUUUUACGUCAUCUACUUCCUACUAAAUAAACAACAAAACUCGCAGAACUACACUUCCACAGAUAGAAACAAACAGCGAAAAUGAAUUAAUUUUCACCCCAACUCCACUUCAACCCAAAAUCCACUUUCACCUCAAGUCUACUUAUGUUGAAACAAAUAUGCCCAUAAUAUCCGUAUAAAUCACGUAUCCGAAUAAUUACCGAAUCUCUUUUUUAGUUUAAAAAUUAGAAGAUGAAUUUUAUCCGAAUUAUACCCAUACCGAAUUUUUGCCGAAUCCGAAUUAACUAACUAUGGGUCGAAUAUCUAUUAACAUAUAUGAUUCCGCAAUAGUUUUGCCACGUGGCAAUUUUUUUUCACUCUUAUUAAAAUCUUUACACUUUUUUCUUUUUUGUAACCGCUUUGUAUUUUAGGAUGCUCUUACAAAUAUUAAUAAGUGAAAGUAAUAAUAAACAUUUAAAUAACAACAGUUAUAAUUAUUUAUUGGUCUUAAAUAAUAUACAAAUACACUUUUUUUAAAAUUUAAAAAUCAUUCGUGUCAAUUCAUAUGACUUUAUAUUUGUCAACAAAAUAUUAUGAUUUUAAUUUCAUUUUUCUCAUUUCCUGUGAAUUUGUGAUCAAGUAUAAAAUGUUGGUAUUAACACAAAAUCACUAUUCUAAGCUAUUAAAACAUAUUAGAACUAAAUAAUUAAUUUGCUUAUUUUAUUUUCAAUUAAGAUUAUAAUUCUUUUUAUUAUCAAAUAUCAACUUUUUGCCUUUUUGUAUUCUAGAGUUUGUUCAGCUAUUUGAAACAAAUUAUCCUAUUGCAUAUCAUUAGAACAAGUUAAUAUAAUUUAUACAUUAUAUUUUAAUAUUUAAAUAAUCUGUACAUUAUACUUUAAUAUUAAAAAUUAUAAAAUACAAAUUUAAUCAUGAAAUUUGACAAAACAGAGGGCAUAGUUUUAGCUUUAUUAAACACUUAUAUAUGUCAUGUUUUUUCCUAUAUUUUUACUAUUUUAUUUAAAUUAAUUUUAUAUUUUAUUAGAAGAUAAUAUUAAGUCUANAAACACUUAUAUAUGUCAUGUUUUUUCCUAUAUUUUUACUAUUCCGUUUAAAUUAAUUUUAUAUUUUAUUAGAAGAUAAUAUUAAGUCUAAAUAAGCAGUCUCAAUAACCAUUAUACUUCUAAUAACAUACAACACCCACCACUAUGAAGGAUUAAAAUCCAUGCGUUUCAAUAGCCUUUUAGAUUCUUAUUAGUUACGUUAAACAUCAAAGUUAUAUAUCUAAUCUAACCAUUAGAAUCAUUAUAGUUUUAACGUGUAACACCUACUAUCAAGUGGCAUUAAAAGUGGAGAUAUAAUUUAACCAUCAUUACAUACGUUUUCAUGGCCCUUUAGAUUCUCAUUAUAUGAUAAAUUGAUUAAUGAUGAAUUAACUAUGUUAAUUAUAAGAUUAUUCCCAUCUACUCAAGCGGCAUUAAUGGAAAAUUUAUUUUUUAAAAAUAUUGAGUAACAAUUAGCGUAUCACAAGGUAGAUGAAUUAAGUAAAAUAAAAAUAUCUUGACUAUUUACAAUAUCUCCCUACCCACCGCAACGCGCCGACACUACACUAGUUGUUAUGAAUAUGGAUUGGGAUUAUCACAAAUCAAGAUCUGAGUUUGAAAAUUUGUUCGAUUUGGUUUCGGAUUCGGAUUCACUAUUUUUUUCUUUGGAUUUGGAUUUUGGAUUCGGAUUAAUCCAAAUGCAAACUUAAUUGCCGAUUCUAUCGCGAUAUGAUGUGAAAACUGUUUGAUAAAAAAUUUUUUGAUGCAUGCACAUAUAAAUAUUUUUAUUACUUUUAAAAUAAUUUAAAAUUUUAAUUUGAAUUAAAAGAAUAAUUUUUAAAUUUUGAAUUUGUACAAAAAAUAAAUUUGAAAUUUCAAAAUUUUAAAUUUUAAAUUUGAUUUUUUUAAAAUCUGAAUUUAAAUUUUGAAUUUUUUGAUCUGAAUUUAAAUUUUGAAUUUUUUGAUCUGAAUUUAAAUUUUGAAUUUCAAAUUUAAAAUCUAAAUUUAAAAUUUAAGAUUUAAAACUUGAAAUUCAAAAAUUAAAAUUUAAAAUUUAAAAUUUAAAACUUACUUUUAAAUUUAAAAUUUUGAAUUUUGAAAUUUAAAAUUAAAUUUUGAAUUUGGAAUUUUGUAAUUCAAAAAUUAAAACUUGUAAUUUUAAAAUUUAAAUUUAAGUUUUAAAAUUUGAAAUUUCAAAAAUUUAAAAUUUAAAAUUUUGAGUUUUGAAAUUUAAAAUUAAAAUUUGAAUUUUGAAUUUUGUAAUUUAAAAAAUAAAACUUGUAAUUUUAAAUUUUCAAAUUUUAAAUUUAAGUUUUAAAAUUUGACAUAUCAAAAUUUUAAAUUUUAUAUUAAAUUUAAAUUUUAAAAUUUUGAAUUUUAAAAUUUAAAAGUUGAGAUUUGAAACUUAAAUUUAAAAUUUAAAUUUUAAAUUUGAAAAAUUGAGAUUUAAAAAUUCAAAUAUAAAUUUAAAAUUUCAAAAUUUAAAUUUAAUGUUAAAUUUAUAUUUUGAAUCUAAAAUAAAAAGAAAUUUGAAGUUUAAGUUCAAAAUUAGAAUCAGUUUUGGAGAAGUAGCUUUUUUCUACUUCUAAUGAAGAUGGCAUGUGGUUGAGAUAGUGCCUAUUACAAAGAUGGCGAGUUGAUCAAGUCGAAUCAUGGCUAUUACGAAAAUGUCGAAUGAUUUGAACAAUACCUAUCACAAAGAUGGCAAAUCAAAAUAUAUUCAUCAUUUUUUUUAAUAUUUUAAUUUUAUUUUUUUUAUUUGUUCAAAUGCGCGGGUUUGAUCGUGUCAAGCCUGAUUGUGAUAUAAAUCUAACUAUUUUUGUGAUGAAAAUAAAUAAAAUCAAACUUACAGAUAAACGCAAAUAUCCAAAUAAAGAUUUGAUCUUAUUCGGAAGCGUGCGAGGCACUGCCCUAAGACUUAUUCCCGUCCUUACAUGUAACACCGCAAGGAGAGUGAAAAAGAAGCGAACCAAACACGCCCUAAGAGUAUUUUUUUUAUUUUUUUUAAGAGAUAGAUAGCAUGUUAUUCACUUCGUUUAUUUUAUUUACCACUAUUAAACUACAAAUUUCCCUUC